CAUGAAGUCAGGGUAAAGUGACUAGACAUCAGGAUAGAUAAUAAUAAGGUAUGAGGUUGAUAUGUACAUGAAGGCAGGGUAAAGUGACUAGACAUCAGGAUAGAUAAUAAUAAGGUAUGAGGUUGAUAUGUACAUGAAGGCAGGGUAAAGUGACUAGACAUCAGGAUAGAUAAUAAUAAGGUAUGAGGUUGAUAUGUACAUGAAGGCAGGGUAAAGUGACUAGACAUCAGGAUAGAUAAUAAUAAGGUAUGAGGUUGAUAUGUACAUGAAGUCAGGGUAAAGUGACUAGACAUCAGGAUAGAUAAUAAUAAGGUAUGAGGUUGAUAUGUACAUGAAGUCAGGGUAAAGUGACUAGACAUCAGGAAAGAUAAUACGAGUAAAA